AGUGAACGCUGGCGGUAGGCCUAACACAUGCAAGUCGAACGGCAGCACAGUAAGAGCUUGCUCUUACGGGUGGCGAGUGGCGGACGGGUGAGGAAUACAUCGGAAUCUACUUUUUCGUGGGGGAUAACGUAGGGAAACUUACGCUAAUACCGCAUACGACCUACGGGUGAAAGCAGGGGAUCUUCGGACCUUGCGCGAUCGAAUGAGCCGAUGUCGGAUUAGCUAGUUGGCGGGGUAAAGGCCCACCAAGGCGACGAUCCGUAGCUGGUCUGAGAGGAUGAUCAGCCACACUGGAACUGAGACACGGUCCAGACUCCUACGGGAGGCAGCAGUGGGGAAUAUUGGACAAUAGGCGCAAGCCUGAUCCAGCCAUACCGCGUGGGUGAAGAAGGCCUUCGGGUUGUAAAGCCCUUUUGUUGGGAAAGAAAAGCAGCAGGUUAAUACCCCGCUGUUCUGACGGUACCCAAAGAAUAAGCACCGGCUAACUUCGUG
rnacentral:rRNA from 1 species